rnacentral:rRNA from 1 species
GACGAACGCUGGCGGCGUGCUUAACACAUGCAAGUCGAACGGAAAGGCCCUGCUUUUGUGGGGUGCUCGAGUGGCGAACGGGUGAGUAACACGUGAGUAACCUGCCCUUGACUUUGGGAUAACUUCAGGAAACUGGGGCUAAUACCGGAUAGGAGCUCCUGCUGCAUGGUGGGGGUUGGAAAGUUUCGGCGGUUGGGGAUGGACUCGCGGCUUGUGAGCUUGUUGGUGGGGUGGUGGCUUACCAAGGCUUUGACGGGUAGCCGGCCUGAGAGGGGGAUCGGCGACACGGGAACGGAGGCACGGUCGAGACUACUAAGGGAGGACGCAGUGGGGAACGUGGGACAAUGGGCGGAAGCCUGAUCCAGCGGUACCGCGUGGGUGACGAAGGCCUUCGGGGGGGAAAGCCGGUUUGUGGGGAAAGAAAAGAAGACGGUUAAUACCCAGCUGGUCUGACGGUAACCAAAGAAUAAGCACCGGCUAACUUCGUG